rnacentral:rRNA from 1 species
CCUACGGGCGGCAGCAGUGAGGAAUAUUGGUCAAUGGGCGCGAGCCUGAUCCAGCCAAGUAGCGUGAAGGAUGACUGCCCUACGGGUUGUAAACUUCGUUUAUAAAGGAAUAAAGUGAGGCACGUGUGCCUUUUUGUAUGUACUUUAUGAAUUAGGAUCGGCUAACUCCGCGCCAGCAGCCGCGGUACUACGGAGGAUCCGAGCGUUAUCCGGAUUUAUUGGGUCUAAAGGGAGCGUAGAUGGGUUGUUAAGUCAGUUGUGAAAGUUUGCGGCUCAACCGUAAAAUUGCAAUUGAUACUGGCAGUCUUGAGUACAGUUGAGGGAGGCGGAAUUCGUGGUGUAGCGGUGAAAUGCUUAGAUAUCACGAAGAACUCCGAUUGCGAAGGCAGCUUACUAAACUGCCACUGACAUUGAUGCUCGAAAGUGUGGGUAUCAAACAGGAUUAGAUACCCGAGUAGUC